GCUUUUGGGGAAACAGCACAUCACGGCUUAGUACUUGUUGUUCUGAAAUCCAAAUGUAGCUGGGCAUCCUGUAUGUUUACUUGCUAAAUCUGGCAUUCCUGAGUGAGGAAAAGAUGGUGACAAAGAGCAGCAUAUCUCUUUCUAGAACCUUCGGUUGGGGCAGAGACCCAGGGUGUAAACCUAACACCCCUGCCAGUCUCCAGCCAGAAACCACGGGAGAAACCACCUGGCUUCAGCCCCAGACGCAUUGCCAGGGAGUUUUUUUGAAGCUUCACUCUUUUCCUCACCGGCUCCGGAAAGUGUCUGCUUGUGAGCCUUGGGCCCUUUCCCCCUCUGGGCUGUCAGGACCCUGCCUUCCCAGCCGCUACCUUGGAUAAAAGGCUUUAUUAAAUCAGGCAAACGUCAGCCCCACAGCUCAGUCGUAAGUUAACCAGCCGACGGGGGAGGAUGGAGAAAAGUCCCCUCCUGGUCCCUCGGCAUAAAGGGAGGCCCAGGGGAUGGAGGCAGAGGGGACAGUCCCCAGGCCCUGGCCCUGAUUUUCAGGUGGCCACUGGUCAGAACUGUCAGCUGUGCCUGUCCCCCAGACUGCAAAUUGAAAACAGCAAAUGUAGCUCUAUUCUUUUUUAUUUUCCUCCCCCCUCCAUCUCUGCCCCUUUUCUCUUGUUUCUUUCUUUCUUUUCUUUUUUUUUGUCAAUGAGGAAUACAAGGCCACUGCCAAAAACAUAUCCCACACAAUCAAACAUCAGAUGGUGACUCCUUUCCCACAGCUUGUGAGAAAUGCUCCUUCAGAACUCGAUCUUGAAGGGUACAGUAAAAGACAGACGCACGCACACACAGACGCCCACAAACCUUCAGCCUGAGGCGGAGACUUCCAUAAGUCUGGGUCCCUGCCCCCUGUGUCUUCAAACUUUCUGAGCGGCUUGGGAGGAUUCCAUAUUUCCAACUUCAGC
rnacentral:lncRNA from 1 species